GUGCCAUGCGGAGGGGGAAACGUUAGCACUCCCCUUGACGAGGAUGAAAGAGGCCCUUUGGCCUGACAACACACAUACGGUCAAGGCAUCGCCACCUGCUUCCUGGCAUCUAACCACUGUUUCUG
ensembl:snRNA